AGAGUUUGAUCCUGGCUCAGGACGAACGCUGGCGGCGUGCCUAAUACAUGCAAGUCGAACGCACUGACGGAGAACUUGUUCUCUUGACGUGAGUGGCGCACGGGUGAGUAACACGUGGGAAACCUACCCUUCAGCGGGGGAUAACCAUCGGAAACGAUGACUAAUACCGCAUAGACGACAGAACCGCCUGGUUCAAUCGGGAAAGACGGCUUCGGCUGUCACUGAAGGAUGGUCCCGCGCUGCAUUAGCUAGUUGGUAAGGUAACGGCUUACCAAGGCGAUGAUGCAUAGCCGACCUGAGAGGGUGAUCGGCCACAUUGGGACUGAGACACGGCCCAAACUCCUACGGGAGGCAGCAGUAGGGAAUCUUCCGCAAUGGACGCAAGUCUGACGGAGCAACGCCGCGUGUGUGAAGAAGGUUUUCGGAUCGUAAAGCACUGUUAUUAGAGAAGAACAGCCGAUAGAGUAACUGUUAUCGGUUUGACGGUAUCUAACCAGAAAGUGACGGCUAACUACGUGCCAGCAGCCGCGGUAAUACGUAGGUCACAAGCGUUGUCCGGAUUUAUUGGGCGUAAAGGGAGCGCAGGCGGUCCGUUAAGUCUGAUGUGAAAGCCCACGGCUCAACCGUGGAACGGCAUUGGAAACUGGCAAACUUGAGUAUAGAAGAGGAAAGUGGAAUUCCAUGUGUAGCGGUGAAAUGCGUAGAUAUAUGGAGGAACACCAGUGGCGAAGGCGACUUUCUGGUCUAUAACUGACGCUGAGCUCGAAAGCGUGGGGAGCGAACAGGAUUAGAUACCCUGGUAGUCCACGCCGUAAACGAUGAGUGUUAAGUGUUGGGGGGCUUCCACCCCUCAGUGCUGGCGUUAACGC
rnacentral:rRNA from 1 species